CUCAUCUGUGUGGGUGUUUGUCUGACAUGUGAACAAGACAUUGAGAGAGGUGCAAAAACAAAUCCUCUUUUGCAACACAGAAUUCAUUGUUCUGUGUGAGUUCUAAUACAGACAAAAAGGAACAUG
rnacentral:snoRNA from 1 species